rnacentral:rRNA from 1 species
GAUGAACGCUGGCGGCGUGCUUAACACAUGCAAGUCGAACGAAGCACUUUGGACAGAUUCUUCGGAUGAAGUCCUUAGUGACUGAGUGGCGGACGGGUGAGUAACGCGUGGGUAACCUGCCUCAUACAGGGGGAUAACAGUUAGAAAUGGCUGCUAAUACCGCAUAAGCGCACGGUGCUGCAUGGUACAGUGUGAUAAACUCCGGUGGUAUGAGAUGGACCCGCGUUGGAUUAGCUAGUUGGCAGGGUAACGGCCUACCAAGGCGACGAUCCAUAGCCGGCCUGAGAGGGUGGACGGCCACAUUGGGACUGAGACACGGCCCAGACUCCUACGGGAGGCAGCAGUGAGGAAUAUUGCACAAUGGGGGAAACCCUGAUGCAGCGACGCCGCGUGAGCGAAGAAGUAUUUCGGUAUGUAAAGCUCUAUCAGCAGGGAAGAAAAUGACGGUACCUGACUAAGAAGCCCCGGCUAACUACGUGCCAGCCGCCGCCGUAA